ensembl:snoRNA
CGCAUCUUUGGACCUGACAGCUGUGGCUGUCUCCCUUCCAAGCCACAAAAGAGUAUAUUCUUGUUUAUUGGCAAAGCAUCACUGUUUAAUUGGUAUCAGAUACUGACUUGCACGAGCAGCAUCC